UGAUUAAACCAAGAAUACCGUGCG
rnacentral:siRNA from 1 species